AAAAAAACUCGGUACUCAAACACGUUCCUCCUUACCGUUUGCUUUUUCCUCUAACUUGAAGACGAAGAACCCUACAUCGAUUUGGAGUGCCGCUGCCGGAAUUUCAUUUACUAAACGCUACAGCGCCCGUCGGAAUCUUUCUAGUGUUUGCUCCACUUCACCACCACUGUCGUCGGUAUCUUCCACAUUCCCACUACCGUAACUGUCGCCGGUUCCUCCCACUCCACCACCACUGUGGCCAGUUACUCCCAAUCCACCCCACCGGUACUUGUAAUCAGACGAGAUGUCACAGAAUAGAGAAUGGAUGUACAUAAUGAGACUCAC